AGUGGAGCCUGCGGCUUAAUUUGACUCAACACGGGAAACCUCACCAGGCCCGGACACCGGAAGGAUUGACAGAUUGAGAGCUCUUUCUUGAUUCGGUGGGUGGUGGUGCAUGGCCGUUCUUAGUUGGUGGAGCGAUUUGUCUGGUUAAUUCCGAUAACGAACGAGACUCUAGCCUGCUAACUAGGCGUAUUUCGACAUCCCAAAGGCCCGCCGUUUCGAGGUUUCGGCCUCUUAGCGCGCGCGGUUUUUACUGUCGGCGUACAAACAAUUCUUCUUAGAGGGACAGGCGGCAUUUAGCCGCACGAGAUUGAGCAAUAACAGGUCUGUGAUGCCCUUAGAUGUUCUGGGCCG
rnacentral:rRNA from 1 species